CCUGUUUUGGGGGGUGUCUUGCUAAUUGCCUAUAAUUUCCACCUUUUGUCUAUUCCAUUUGCACAAGAGCAUGUGAAAUGUAUUGUCAAUCAGUGUUGCUUCCUAAGUGGACAGUUUGAUUUCACAGAAGUGUGAUUGACUUGGAGGUACAUUGUGUUGUUUAAGUGUUCCCUUUAUUUUUUUGAGCAGUGUAUUUAUUUUUUUUAUCUUAAGAAUGCAUCCAAAAAAAAAAGAAUUUAUCCCAUCCAGUCCCCUCUGUCAUCACCACUUUCUCAAACACUCUAAUAAUCUUUAUUUGUCACAUUUUGCCUAGAAUCUCUGACUUCUCUACGUUGGACAAAGCAGGAUGUGGAAUAAUACAGGCCUGUACGCCAAAACCACACUCGCUUUGUUUUAUUUUGUUUUAAGACUAAACUGAAGCUGAUAGCAAAGCUGUAUUUUAAUAUAUGUAUUGCCACUGCAGAAAUCUAGUGCUGUGUAUUUUGGUGAGGGCAACAGGGAGAAUCUAACACUCCUCAGACUACAGAGGCCAGGCAGACCAGGCCGUACAGAGAGGCUGGAGUGCUUAUGUAACACGCCCCUCCACCAACCAUCAUGACUUGGACAAUAAAUAAAAAAAUCCCUCCCUGCUGCCCCUACCCUCCUCUGGCUCUCCUGCUGCAGCAGCCGGUGACGUGGUAGAGCCGGGUCUGACAUUUGCUGCUGCUCUCUUCCGCUCUGUCUCACAGCAGAGUGUGGACGUGUGCUUUUUGGAGAAGGCAGCUCACAUCUGGUCUUCUGUCAAAACGCCAUACCACAGACAGAGAGCACCCAAAAAUUGCAGUGUUCAAUAUUCCACAUUAGUUCAGGCCCAGACAGCAAAACUAAGCAGAUUUCGAGAAAUGGUCCUGCUGGUCAAUUGAAUUAGACGUAUUACCAGAUAUAGCCACAUGAAAAGUCAGAGACGGCAGAACAACCAAGUAUUAAAAGGAUACUUCGGUAUUUUGGAUAAUUUCCUACUUACCGAGAGUAAGACUAACUCAUGGAUACAAUUUUUAUGUGUAUGCGUGCAAGUUGAAGGAAGUUGAAGGUAGCAAGCAUAUCGUUAUUUUAGCGCAAUUGCUGGAAGUCUAUGGAUAUCUACUAGCCAUCUUCUCGUAAAAGCAGGGAAAUUUGUACUUUGUACUCUAAGUAUAUAUGAAAUUGUAAUAUUUUAACAAUAGUUAUUUAUUUUUUGAACUAUUUUCUCCUAACUACGCAUUUCAUUCAUCCGCUGUGACGGUGGGCGCAAGGAUGGGCUGUGUGCGAGCUGGCCAGCUGAGACGUCGGGACAGCGGCAGUUUUGAACAAGUUUGCCUACUUGAUAUCUAGCUAGCAAAGUGUGAGAAGAGAACGUCAAUUGUAAAACCCACAGAAGAAGAGUACACCAACAGUCCAAAACUAUAGUUUUACCUCGCAGCCAUGUCUGAAUAUUGUUGACACUCCUCGAAGUAUUUUCACGCUAUUGGCUAGCUUACGUUAGCUUGACAGCUAGCUAGCUAGCACAUGUAAUUAGCAGAGUGUGUUGAGAUUUGGGUUACAUCAACGGACUACUAUCACUUGUCCAAUAUUGAAAAUGGUUUGUGGGUGUGCUGUAAAAGCUUGCAAUAACAAACCAAGGAAGUGGUCGGCUAUAAUCUUUCACAAACUUCCAUUGAAUAAUCCGGAUUGAUUGAAACUAUGGCUAGUUGCCGUGAAUAUAGACAACGCUGACCAAGGACUUCAGAAAGGUUGUAGCUAGUUUGCUCUGACAUUUUUUUAGAGGAUGAAAUGACGAGCCAUAAGAUGAGACGUUUCCUGAGACACAGUGGUCCCAUCAGUGGGCAUUCUACGCACGCCAGAACAAAGUAGAAUGGGUUGAGAUAGAUGACGUGCCUGCUGUGGACUGUCCACAAGGAACGGACUCCAUGUCUGCUGGAGUAGUAUCGCAUUCAGAACCAGAAUGGAGGACAAGCCUCAACAGUUGCUGGAACUCCAAGAUCCAACGUUGUCUACUCAAAACAGUGGAUUGCACGGCUGAUAUAUCAACCCACCGCUCAAAGAUUCAGGGAUGACCUGAUGGAGAGCAUCCUGCAGAGACGCAUGGACUAAUACUUGGAGCCCAAAUCCUGUGGAAGAGGCUGUCGUUUGGCUGCCAACAUAACCCCAUGCAAAAACCCAGCAAGGAGGAGGUCAUUACUGGUUUAUUGGUAUCUCUGUUAGCUUUUGCCGAAGCAGCAGCUAUUCUUCCUUGGGUCCACACCAAAACAAACACGACAAGUAACAAAACACUGUUACGCUGAUAGACAAUUGCAGCACACACAUCAAGUUUCAAGUACACUUGGGGCUAUUCUGACACCCCCUACUCCCCUGGUAUCCAUGGACAUGGUCCUCCUUGCACUACUACCUAAUACAAACAUACUUAUUGUAACAUCAUUUGUUAGCCUCUAGUCAUUAUCUCUCUGCAUCUUUAGCAUUAAAAAAAAAUCCAUUAACUUUAGGCUACCACUGUACAUAACAGCACCGCUAUGUAUAUUUUACUUUUUAUUGCUGACUUGUCUAUACUGUGUAUUGUACAUGAUGUGCAGGGAUCUGUAUUGUGCUGUAUAAAAUAAAUAAUUGCCGGUUCAUCGAUUGUCAUGUCAUUACAUAGGUCUACACUAAGUUUUGUUGGCUUUUACCAAUUUACCUUUAGUAUUCAAAUGUUACUGAAACAUUGACUUGACAGCUAUAUUUCAUUCACACAACUAUCAUGUGGCAUGCUGUAAUGAAUCACUUAUAGUAGAUAUUAACAAAAUAGAUAGUACUGGUAGAAAUGGCAUUUAUUACAGUGAUUUGACAGAAUUGGAACAAAAUAAGUUGUACUGGUUCAAACAGCAUUUAUUAAAGUGAUUUGACUAAAUUAGUUAGGCAAUAUCUGGCUGUGAAGCUAAAUCAUCGGAGUGUAAUUACAACAGGCUCAUUACAUCCUCUUCUCCUUGAAUCCCAUGUACUCCUGUGGGCGAGGGAUAUUUGAGGCGAAUGGCAGAAACAACACGUGAAUGCAUGACUCUUCUAGUCCCAGUCUAUAGCCCUUCAGUGCCUACUCCAACACCAGUUGAUAUGCAACCCGCCUGUAUUGACUAAGAACAACUAAGUUGUUAUUUGUGAGGAGCUAGAGCCAAAUAAUCUAAUAACAGGAAACAAUUUAAUUUGAUCAGAAUUAAAUUAUAAAACAAAAGUUAUCAACAGAUCUUUUAUGUUUUGUUACUGUGUGCUGGGACAAGCCAGAGUAAUGUCACUUACUCGAAAGACAGCUGUCCAUUUGGUCCAGCAGGUAUGGGCUACUUUUUCCAGUUUAUUUUGGGGACAGAAGAAUCUAGGAUUGAUGAAAGUAUUAAAGUCCUUGCGGUUUGUUAGUCUCUGGGUGCGCUGCUUUCUUCGCUGUAGAUACACUACAUGUCCAAAAGUAUGUGGACACCGCUCUUUGAACAUCUCAUUCAAAAAUCAUGGACAUUAAUGUGGAGUUGGUCCCCCCAUUUUGCCUCCACUUUUUGGGAAAGGCUUUCCACUAGAUGUUGGAACAUUGCUGUGGGGACUUUCUUCCAUUCAGCCCAAGAGCAUUAGUGAGGUCGGGCACUGAUGUUGUGCGAUUAGGCCUGGCUAGCAGUCGACGUUCCAAUUCAUCUCAAAAGUAUUCGAUGGGGUUGAGGUCAGGACUCUGUAGGCCAGUCAAGUUCUUCACUGAUCUCGACAAACUUUUUCUGUAUGGACCUCACUUUCUGCACUGGGGAAUUGUCAUGCUGAAACAGGAAAGGGCUUUCCCCAAACUGUUGCCACAAAGUUGGAAGCACAGAAUCGUCUAUGGAUCUCAUUGUAUGCUGUAGCAUUAAGAUUUCCCUUAACAGGAACUAAGGGGCCUAGCCCGAACCAUGAAAAACAGUACCAGACCAUUAUUCCUCCUCUUCCAAACUUUACAGCUGGCACUAUGCAUUGGGGCAGGUAGCGUUCUGCUGGCAUCCACCAAACCCAGAUUCGUCCGUCGGACUGUCAGAUGAAGCGUAAUCACUCCAGAGAACGCGUUUCCAUCACUCAGGCCGAUGCUUGGCAUUUUGCAUGGUGAUCUUAGGCUGCUCGGCCAUGGAAACCCAUUUCAUAAAGAUCCCAACGAACAGUUCUUGUGCUGACGUUGCUUCCAGAGGCAGUUUGGAACUCGGUAGUGAGUGUUGCAACCGAGGACAGAUGAUUUUUACGCGCUUUAGCAUACCCGUUCCCGUUCUGUGAGCUUGUGUGGCCUACCACUUUGCUGCUAAGACGUUGUUGCUUCUAGACGUUUACACGUCACAAUAACAGCACUUACAGUUGACCGGAGCAGCUCUAGCAGGGCAGAAAUUUGACGAACUGACUUGUUGGAAAAGUGGCAUCCAAUGACGGUGCCACGUUGAAAGUCACUGAGCUCUUAAGUAAGGCCAUUCCACUGACAAAUUUGUCUAUGGAGAUUGCAUUGCUGUGUGCUCGAUUGUAUACACCUGCCAGCAACGGGUGUGGCUGAAAUAGCCAAAUCCGCUAAUUUGAAAGAGUUUCCACAUACUGUUGGUCAUGUAGAGUAUCAAGCCCGCGAUGGCAGUAACAAGUCCCACUCAGCACAGCACAAACACUCUUUGUUGGUUGCCAUUGGUUGAUAUGCCCCGCCGUCCCCCUCAGACCAGGGUCUCGCCACCGCUUCUGCUAGUUCGUCUACCGACUCCGCUGAUUCCCCCUCCCUCCAAAAUUCUGGCUCUAAUAAAUAUGGCUCUGAAUAAAACAUUUCUUCUACUACCUCAAAGUCCGACAUGAUUCAUCAAAUGUUAUUAUGAUGAUUUGCCAAUAAGCAAAUGAGCUAGCUACUAGAGUACGCAACAGCUGGCUGUCUCCUGGGAAAAGAGCACAGGCAGAAAGAACCCAAAGUAGUCCGUAAAUGAGGAAGUUGAUACAAUGUAAUUUCUGAUGAUUAUCAGUAAAAUUGGCUAACUUAUAAAAUAUUGAUUACUGAGUAUAGCUUUGUACUUUUUUAUAAAUGACCGACCACCCAGAUUUGGAGAAGUUAUAUCUAUUUCCCAGGAGAUGGAUAGUAGAUACCCAUAGACUUCCAGCAAUUGCGGUAAGCUAAUGAUAUGCUGCCUUCAACUUCCUUAGAACUGCAUGCAUAGACAUAAAAAUAGUAUUUGUGAGUUCAUCUGAGUUCAUCUGACUCUGGGUAAGUAGGAAAUUACCCCAAAUACUGAAAUAUCCCUUGAACACAGAAUGACAUACCCACAGAAAUCCUCACCCAAUGGCAAUCAUUCCUUGCUUCACAAGUCAGAACAUGGUUCCUAUAGCAACAAACCCCAUUUUGCACAGUCAAAUGACUGUAAUGGAGAGAGUUUGAUCAUUGGACAAAUUGUAACGUGUGUGUGUGUCUUGUGUUAU